GUCAGCCUCUUACUGCAGGUUUAUUCCUGCUGCCUCUCUCAUAGAGUUUAUUUUGUUCUGAUCUGUUCCUUUUUUAUAGAACUCUCCUGUUUCUCACCUCCUGUUGUUCCUGAACUGUUGCUGCUGUAUUUUUUCCUCAUGUCUUUGGCUGCCUGUUGCAGGUCUGUGUCUCUCUACUGACGUCGCCCUCCUGAACUCCUCACCUGCUCUGGUCUGCGUUACCUUCAAUAUCAGUUCCUGUUCUUGGUCAUGGAUGACUUUGUUUGUAACAAACUGACUGAAUGGGGUCUUAGUGAGCUCAUUGAUAGAUUUAAAGAUGAAGAAAUUGACAAGAAACGUCUGUAUGAUCUUGAUGAUCAAGACAUUAAAGAGCUGUUCCCAAAAAUGGGACCAAGAGCUACAUUCAAGAAGGAACUCAG